rnacentral:rRNA from 1 species
AGCGGCGCAAGGGUGAGUAACGCGUAGUUAUCUGCCCCAGGGUCCAGAAUAGCUUCGGGAAACUGAAGGUAAUGCUGGAUAAUAUCUCCGGAUCAAAGGUGAGAUUCCGCCCUGGGAGGAGACUGCGUCCUACUAGCUUGUUGGUGGGGUAAUGGCCUACCAAGGCUACGAUGGGUAGCGGGCGUGAGAGCGUGGCCCGUCACACUGGGACUGAGACACUGCCCAGACACCUACGGGUGGCUGCAGUCGAGAAUCUUCCUCAAUGGGCGAAAGCCUGAAGGAGCAAUGCCGCGUGCGGGAUGAAGGCCCUCGGGUUGUAAACCGCGAAAGUAAGGAGGAAGGCUUUGUGAAGAGCAAAGUUUGACCAAUUUACAGUAAGGACGGGCUAAGUUCGUGCCAGCAGCCGCGGUAAGACGAACCGUCCAAACGUUAUUCGGAAUUAUUGGGCUUAAAGGGUGCGUAGGCGGCGCUGUAAGUCAGGUGUGAAAUCCCACGGCUCAACCGUGGAACUGCGCUUGAUACUGCAGUGCUUGAGGGAGACAGAGGUAAGCGGAACUGAUGGUGGAGCGGUGAAAUGCGUUGAUAUCAUCAGGAACACCAGUGGCGAAAGCGGCUUACUGGGUCUCUUCUGACGCUGAGGCACGAAAGCUAGGGUAGCGAACGGGAUUAGAUACCCCGGUAGUCCUAGCCGUAAACGAUGAGCACUUGAUUGAGGACCCUCCCAUAGGUUCUUGGUCGAAGCGAAAGUGAUAA